UAGCAGGCGGAGCAAAAGUUAUCUGG
rnacentral:piRNA from 1 species